UACGUAGGGGCCAAGCGUUGUCCGGAUUUAUUGGGCGUAAAGAGCUCGUAGGCGGUUCGGCAAGACAGCUGUGAAAUCUCCACGCUCAACGUGGAGGGGUCAGCUGAUACUGCUGUGACUCGAGUCCGGUAGGGGAGUGUGGAAUUCCCGGUGUAGCGGUGAAAUGCGCAGAUAUCGGGAGGAACACCAGUAGCGAAGGCAGCUCGCUGGGACGUGACUGACGCUGAGACGCGAAAGCGUGGGGAGCAAACAGG
rnacentral:rRNA from 1 species